GUGGGGAAUAUUGGACAAUGGGCGCAAGCCUGAUCCAGCCAUGCCGCGUGUGUGAAGAAGGCCUUUUGGUUGUAAAGCACUUUAAGCGAGGAGGAGGCUCCUUUAGUUAAUACCUAAAGAGAGUGGACGUUACUCGCAGAAUAAGCACCGGCUAACUCUGUGCCAGCAGCCGCGGUAAUACAGAGGGUGCGAGCGUUAAUCGGAUUUACUGGGCGUAAAGCGUGCGUAGGCGGCUUUUUAAGUCGGAUGUGAAAUCCCUGAGCUUAACUUAGGAAUUGCAUUCGGUACUGGAAAGCUAGAGUAUGGGAGAGGAUGGUAGAAUUCCAGGUGUAGCGGUGAAAUGCGUAGAGAUCUGGAGGAAUACCGAUGGCGAAGGCAGCCAUCUGGCCUAAUACUGACACUGAGGUGCGAAAGCAUGGGGAGCAAACAGGAUUAGAUACCCGGGUAGUCC
rnacentral:rRNA from 1 species